CAACAGCAACGAGCAAACAGCCAAAGGACAACUUGCAUCUUAUGGAUUAAUUUAAGUAGUGCUUAGUAAGAGAUAAGAACACUUUUUUUUUUAUAGGAAAGUUGAGAAAAACAUUUUACACUUCAUUUUGAGAAAGAAAUUGGGCAGCAAACGUUCAAGUGAUUAUGGUGAAGCUGUUGCUUCAAUUGAAAAAUGGAGGCAGCAGCGUUCAAGUGUUGUAAGCCAACUAAAGCUGCUUGUUGGAAUUUGGGAUCUAUGAUGACAACGAAUUCCCUUUUUACAAGAACAUAUGCAGAAACUUGUUUUAAUUUUAAGACCUAAGAGCUCGAGAAGUAGACGUUGGACAUUUAGAUAGAGUUCAAGGGUCAACGAAGAUGUAUCAUGACCUCAGAUGUUUAUAUUGGUGGGAUAGCAUGAAAAAGGAUAUAGCGGAGUUCGUCGCUCAGUGCCCGAAUUGUCAACAGGCUAAGAUCGAGCAUCAGAAGCCUGGUGGAUUAUUAUAGGAGAUAGAGAUCCCGACUUGGAAAUGGGAAGUAAUUUGCCUCAUAUAAUAACUUUACAUAACUGCUUUGUGCUCUGUCUAUCAUUAACUGGUAUGAUUCUGAAAGAAUUUUUGAUUUGACAUAUAAAUUCACUGUCAUCCAGUAACCAGCUUGUUCUGAUCGUCUCGCUUAAACCAUUUCACAAUUUCCCUUAACCCAACUUGUAACACUUUAGGCAUAUCAUCUUGUGUCGUUUCUUUACCUUUAAUUCAAACUCUUCUACUGCCUCUUCACUCAGAUUUUCGCUCUUAGUUUUUCUGUCACACAUUAUGUUGCAAUCUUUACAAGAAUAUGCGAUUGUGUCCGUCAAAUGUAAUUUUGUACAUUGGAUUAUUCGUGAGCUAAUGGACAUAAAUUCAAGGACAAGAUUAUUUUUGGGAAAUGAGACAAGGACUUUUAAUCCCUAUUAUAAAAAAUGGUACGACUUGCUUGUAAAUUUCAAUUAGUGUAGAAAUAUUAGUGAAGAGUAGAGGACUGAUUAGCCUAAUUAGUGUAUUAAGUGGGCCCCACCAAGCAUGAAUGACAAAAAUCUGACCAUGAAUGAUGGCAUGCCUAGUGGGGCACAUGUCAUCAUGGCUGGUAGCAUAUCACCAAGCAUAAUAAUUAAAAAUCUGAUCAUGAAUGAUGGCAUGCUAUAGUGGGGCACGUGUAAUCAUCUUGGGCAGCACAUAGCCUACUUUUUGACCAAUUUUUCAGCCAACUCAUCUUCCAACACUCCCCAAAAAUCUGAAAUUGGAGAGAGAGAAUUCAUUUUGAUCUUCCAACACUCCCCAAAGUUGAAUUAAGAGAGAGAAGAAUUCAUUUUCAUCUUCCAACACUCCCCAAAGUUGAAUUAAGAGAGAGAAUUCAUUUUCAUCUUCAACCAAAGUUGAAAACUAAAGAAAGGGAGAGAGAGAGAGACAUUCGUCCAUGACUAUGGAAGAUUUAUGAAGCCAUGGCCAACCCUCCUCUUCACUACUAAUUGAUAAUUUUCAAGUUGAAUUGAAGAAAGGAAUGGAAACUGCAAUAGCCAUGGCAGCUCACGGCCAUGGCAACUCUUGACCAGCCCAAGUUUUUGAUAGCAAGGAACUAAAUUUGAGGUUGAAGUGCUAAUCGAGACGAGUUUAAAUUAUUAAGUUGGUACGGACGACAAGUGGUAUGUAAAGCUAACCCUUCCUUCUUUUGGCAUGAUCUUUAUGAAACAAACAGACGACGUAUAUAUAUGACUCCAAAGAAGCUCCUAUUCUUAGAGCCACUAGGAUGGCUAAUGUUCUUGAUUUCCAGAAGCUAUUUCAUUAUGUCUUAAUACAUGCGUAAGAUUCCAACCAUCAUAUUUUGGUAUAACUCAUAUUUUGGUAUAAUUCAUAUUCAUUCGAAGGGUACUUGAUAUGACUAUUGUCUUAAUUUUCAAAUGAUUGUUCAUUUUGACUAUUCUAUUGAGUCUCAUAUAUGAUUUAGUUUGCAUAUGGUUUCUCACUAUUCUGCUCGUGCAUGUCUCAAUAUAUCUUUCACUGAGUCCCGGGCCAGGAUACGUUUUCGUGCACAGUUUCACUACAUUGUUCACCGAGUCCCUCACUAGAGGGCCGGGAUACGUUAUAUAUAUAUAUAUAUAUAUAUAUAUAUAUAUAUAUAAAUAUAUGAUGAUGAUGAUGUGAUGAUGGCGCCGAGCCCCAUGAAGAGCCGAAUAUGGUAUAUGAUGACUUUAUUCACUGAAUCCCAUAAUGGGUCGGGUAUGAUACAUGAUAUUGAUUUGCAUGAUUAUCGUUUCAUAAGGCAAGUGUAUUGGUAUCUUUGAUCGUCAUACUUGACUCCUGUAAUCUUUUAUUCAGUUAUGGUUUUCUUUAUUACAUUUCAUGUUUUAUAUACUUAGUACAAAUCUCGUACUGACCCCCCUUUGUUCGGGGGCUGCGUUUCAUGC